rnacentral:tRNA from 1 species
ACCUGGCUGGCUCAGUCAGUGGAGCAUGUGACCCUUGAUCUUGGGGUUGUGAGUUUGAGUCCCACGUUGGGUG